rnacentral:rRNA from 1 species
UACGGGAGGCAGCAGUGGGGAAUAUUGCACAAUGGGCGCAAGCCUGAUGCAGCCAUGCCGCGUGUAUGAAGAAGGCCUUCGGGUUGUAAAGUACUUUCAGUCGUGAGGAAGGUGUUAAGGUUAAUAACCUUAGCAAUUGACGUUAGCGACAGAAGAAGCACCGGCUAACUCCGUGCCAGCAGCCGCGGUAAUACGGAGGGUGCGAGCGUUAAUCGGAAUUACUGGGCGUAAAGGGCACGCAGGCGGUUAAUUAAGUUGGAUGUGAAAUCCCCGGGCUUAACCUGGGAAUGGCAUUCAAGACUGGUUAGCUAGAGUCUUGUAGAGGGGGUAGAAUUCCAUGUGUAGCGGUGAAAUGCGUAGAGAUGUGGAGGAAUACCGGUGGCGAAAGGCGGCCCCUGGGACAAAGACUGACGCUCAUGUGCGAAAGCUGGGGAGCAAACAGGAUUAGAUACC